UCUGGUUGAUCCUGCCAGUAGUUAUAUGCUUGUCUCAAAGAUUAAGCCAUGCAUGUUUAAGUACACACGAAUUAAAAGUGAAACCGCAAAAGGCUCAUUAUAUCAGUUAUGGUUCCUUAGAUCGUUAACAGUUACUUGGAUAACUGUGGUAAUUCUAGCGCUGAUACAUGCAAUUGAAACAUGAACCUUAUGGGACAUGUGCUUUUAUUAGACUAAAACCAAGCCAUCGCAAAAUCGUUAUAUUGUUUGAACUCUAGAUAACAUGCAGAUCGUAUGGUCUUGUACCGACGACAGAUCUUUCAAAUGUCUGCCCUAUCAACCUUUGAUGGUAGUAUCUAGGACUACCAUGGUUGCAACGGGUAACGGGCAAUCAGGGUUCGAUUUCGGAGAGGGAGCCUGAGAAACGGCUACCACAUCUAAGGAAGGGAGCAGGCGCGUAAAUCAUUCACUCCCAGCUCGGGGAGGUAGUGACGAAAAAUAACAAUACAGGACUCAUAUCCGAGGCCCUGUAAUGGGAAUGAGUACACUUUAACAAGGACCAAUUGGAGGGCAAGUCUGGUGCCAGCAGCCGCGGUGAUUCCAGCUCCAAUAGCGUAUAUUAAAGUUGUUGCGUUUAAAACGUUUGUAGUUGACCUUGUACUUCAUACGGGUAGUACAACUUACACUUGUGGUUAGUACUAUACCUUUAUGUAUGUAAGCGUAUUACCGGUGGAGUUCUUAUAUGUGAUUAUAUACUUGUAUUUUUUCAUAUGUUCCUCCUAUUUAAAAACCUGCAUUUGGGGUCAUUACGUAUUACGACACGGGAGGUGAAAUUCUUGGACCGUCGUAAGACUAACUUAAGCGAAAGCAUUUGCCAAAGAUGUUUUCAUUAAUCAAAAACGAAAGUUAGAGGUUCGAAGGCGAUCAGAUACCCCCCUAGUUCUAACCAUAAACGAUGCCAGCUAGCAAUUUGGUGUAGCUACUUUUAUGGCUCUCUCAGUCGCUUCCCGGGAAACCAAAGCUUUUGGGCUCCGGGGGAAGUAUGGUUGCAAAGCUGAAACUUAAAGGAAUUGACGGAAGGGCACCACCGGCUUAAUUUGACUCAACACGGGAAAACUUACCAGGUCCGAACAUAAGUGUGUAAGACAGAUUGAUAGCUCUUUCUUGAAUCUAUGGGUGGUGGUGCAUUGCCGUUCUUAGUUCGUGGAGUGAUUUGUCUGGUUAAUUCAGAAAACGAACGAGGCUAUAUUAAAGAGAUAUCUUCAGGAUUAUGGAGCUGAAGCUUAUAUAGCCUUCAUUCAUGGUGGCAGUAAAAUGUUUAUUGUGUUUGAAUAUGUUUAUGUAAGUGGAGCCGUACCUGUUGGUUUGUCCCAUUAUAAGGACACUAGCUUCUUAAAUGGACAAAUUGCGUCUAGCAAUAAUGAGAUUGAGCAAUAACAGGUCUGUGAUGCCCUUAGAUGUCCUGGGCUGCACGCGCGCUUCAAUGAAAGUAUCAACGUGUUUUUCCUAGACCGAGAGGUCCGGGUAAACCGCUUAACCACUUUCAUGCUUGGGAUUGUGAACUGAAACUGUUCACAUGAACUUGGAAUUACCAAGCGAAAAGAAAACAGUUCAGCACUAAGUCACUUUGUCUAUAUGGCAAAUGU
rnacentral:rRNA from 1 species